GGUUAAGUUAGAAAGGGCGCACGGUGGAUGCCUUGGCACUAGGAGCCGAAGAAGGACGGGACUAACACCGAUAUGCUUUGGGGAGCUGUACGUAAGCGUUGAUCCAGAGAUUUCCGAAUGGGGGAACCCACUAUCUUUAGUCGGAUAGUAUCCUUACGUGAAUACAUAGCGUGAGGAAGGCAGACCCAGGGAACUGAAACAUCUAAGUACCUGGAGGAAGAGAAAGAAAAAUCGAUUUCCUGAGUAGCGGCGAGCGAAACGGAAAGAGCCCAAACCAAGAAGCUUGCUUCUUGGGGUUGUAGGACACUCUAUACGGAGUUACAAAAGAAAGUUAUAAAUGAAGCGGUCUGGAAAGGCCCGCCAAAGACGGUAACAGCCCGGUAGUUGAAAUAGCUUUCCCUCCAGAGUGGAUCCUGAGUACGGCGGAACACGUGAAAUUCCGUCGGAAUCCGGGAGGACCAUCUCCCAAGGCUAAAUACUCCCUAGUGACCGAUAGUGAACCAGUACCGUGAGGGAAAGGUGAAAAGCACCCCGGAAGGGGAGUGAAACAGUUCCUGAAACCGUGUGCCUACAAGUAGUUAGAGCCCGUUAAUGGGUGAUAGCGUGCCUUUUGUAGAAUGAACCGGCGAGUUACGAUUUGUUGCAAGGUUAAGCGGAAAAAGCGGAGCCGUAGCGAAAGCGAGUCUGAAUAGGGCGCAUAAGUAACAGGUCGUAGACCCGAAACCAGGUGAUCUACCCAUGUCCAGGAUGAAGGUAAGGUAAUACUUACUGGAGGUCCGAACCCACGCACGUUGAAAAGUGCGGGGAUGAGGUGUGGGUAGCGGAGAAAUUCCAAUCGAACUUGGAGAUAGCUGGUUCUCUCCGAAAUAGCUUUAGGGCUAGCCUCGAGGUAAAGAGUCAUGGAGGUAGAGCACUGUUUGGACUAGGGGCCCUUCUCGGGUUACCGAAUUCAGAUAAACUCCGAAUGCCAUGUACUUAUACUCGGGAGUCAGACUGCGAGUGAUAAGAUCCGUAGUCGAAAGGGAAACAGCCCAGACCACCAGUUAAGGUCCCCAAAUAUAUGUUAAGUGGAAAAGGAUGUGGGGUUGCUUAGACAACCAGGAUGUUGGCUUAGAAGCAGCCACCAUUGAAAGAGUGCGUAAUAGCUCACUGGUCGAGUGACCCCGCGCCGAAAAUGUACCGGGGCUAAACAUA
rnacentral:rRNA from 1 species